rnacentral:rRNA from 1 species
AUUGAACGCUGGCGGCAUGCCUUACACAUGCAAGUCGAACGGCAGCACGGGAGCAAUCCUGGUGGCGAGUGGCGAACGGGUGAGUAAUACAUCGGAACGUGCUCGGUAGUGGGGAUAACCGGCGAAGCCGGACUAAUACGCAUACGACCUACGGUGAAAGACAGGGAGUCGCAAGACCUUGCGCUAUCGGAGCGGCCGAUGUCAGAUUAGCUUGUUGGCGGGGUAAAAGGACCCACCAAGGCGACGAUCUGUAGCUGGUCUGAGAGGACGACCAGCCACACUGGGACUGAGACACGGCCCAGACUCCUACGGAGGCAGCAGCGGGGAAGUUUGGUACAAUAGGGCGCAAGCCUGAUCCAGCCAUGCCGCGUGCGGGAAGAAGGCCU